rnacentral:rRNA from 1 species
AACGAACGCUGGCGGCAUGCCUAACACAUGCAAGUCGAACGAGACCUCCGGGUCUUUUGGCUCACGGGUGUGUAACGCGUCAGAUCCUUCCCUUAUGUUCCGAAUACCUCCCCGACAGGGGUGCUAAUACCGGAUAAUUUCUUCGGCCCCAAGAUUUAUCGCCCUUGGUUGGGCCCGCGUUGGAUUAGCUGGUUGGUAGGGUAAAAGCCUACCACGGCGUCGCUCCAUAGCUGGUCAGAGAGGCUGAGCAGCCACACUGGGACUGAGACACGGCCCGGACUACUACGGGAGGGAGCAGAGGGGAAUAGAGGACAACGGGCGGAAGCCUGAACGAGCAAGGCCGGGUAAGUGAUGAAGGCCGGAGGGAAGAAAAGCUCGUUUAACCGGGAUGGUAAUGACGGUACCGGGAGAAUAAGCACCGGCUAACUCCGUG